ACGGGAGGUAGCAGUGGGGGAUAUUGCACAAUGGGGGAAGCCCUGAUGCAGCGACGCCGCGUGAGUGAAGAAGUAUUUCGGUAUGUAAAGCUCUAUCAGCAGGAAAGAUAAUGACGGUACCUGACUAAGAAGCACCGGCUAAAUACGUGCCAGCAGCCGCGGUAAUACGUAUGGUGCAAGCGUUAUACGGAUUUACUGGGUGUAAAGGGAGCGCAGACGGCAUGGCAAGCCAGAUGUGAAAUGCGGGGGCUCAACUCCUGAACUGCAUUUGGAACUGUCAAGCUAGAGUAUCGGAGAGGUAAGUGGAAUUCCUAGUGUAGCGGUGAAAUGCGUAGAUAUUAGGAGGAACACCAGUGGCGAAGGCGGCUUACUGGACGAUAACUGACGUUGAGGCUCGAAAGCGUGGGGAGCAAACAGGAUUAGAUACCCUGGUA
rnacentral:rRNA from 1 species